UACGGAGGGUGCAAGCGUUGCUCGGAAUCACUGGGCGUAAAGCGACCGCAGGCGGCCUGACAAGUCGGAUGUGAAAGCCCUGGGCUCAACUCAGGAAUUGCAUUCGAAACUGGCAGGCUUGAGUACGGGAGAGGGGGGUGGAAUUCCUGGUGUAGGGGUGAAAUUCGUUGAUAUCAGGAGGAACACCGGCGGCGAAGGCGGCCCCGUGGCCCGCAACUGACGCUCAUGGUCGAAAGCGUGGGGAGCAAACAGG
rnacentral:rRNA from 1 species